UACGUAGGAGGCAAGCGUUGUCCGGAAUUACUGGGCGUAAAGCGCGUGUAGGUGGUGGGACAAGUCUGCUGUGAAAGCGCCUGGCUUAACCGGGCGAGGUCGGCGGAAACUGUCCGACUCGAGGACGGUAGAGGGGGGUGGAAUUCCCGGUGUAGUGGUGAAAUGCGUAGAGAUGCGGAGGAACACCGAUGGCGAAGGCAGCCCCCUGGGCUAACACUGACGCUCAGGCACGAAAGCGUGGGGAGCAAACAGG
rnacentral:rRNA from 1 species